rnacentral:rRNA from 1 species
GACGAACGCUGGCGGCGUGCUUAACACAUGCAAGUCGAACGCUGAAGCUUAGUGCUUGCACUGGGUGGAUGAGUGGCGAACGGGUGAGUAAUACGUGAGUAACCUGCCCUUGACUCUGGGAUAAGCCUGGGAAACUGGGUCUAAUACUGGAUAUGACAUGCCACUGCAUGGUGGUGUGUGGAAAGGGUUUUACUGGUUUUGGAUGGGCUCACGGCCUAUCAGCUUGUUGGUGGGGUAAUGGCCUACCAAGGCGACGACGGGUAGCCGGCCUGAGAGGGUGACCGGCCACACUGGGACUGAGACACGGCCCAGACUCCUACGGGAGGCAGCAGUGGGGAAUAUUGCACAAUGGGCGGAAGCCUGAUGCAGCGACGCCGCGUGAGGGAUGACGGCCUUCGGGUUGUAAACCUCUUUCAGCACGGAAGAAGCGAGAGUGACGGUACGUGCAGAAGAAGCGCCGGCUAACUACGUG